ensembl:lncRNA
GAAGCUUCUGCCGUCACUGAUCACGUGAUCAGCAGCGAACGAACCGAGCGCCGACACGUUUGCUUCGCCUGCACUGCACUGCACCACAAGCUUCACAGCAGGAGGGUCGGAGGGGGCAGAAUACGACUAUUUAAAGCAGUGGUUCUCAGCUGGUCUGGUGGCUCCGGGACCCUCCAUCACCCCUCAAUGACAACCGACCCAAAUCGAGGAACAUCCUUCACUUCUCAGAUGUAUUUAAUGAAAAUAUGGUGCAGUUUGAACCUGAGAGCGUGUGGAGACAGAACACGUAUGACCACACAAAAACAAGUUUAAUGAGAAAACAGCCAGCUGGUAGCGACGCUAGAGAGGGAACUAUUCCCUUUACACAAAAUGAGCUAAAACCCCAAAGUGCAUCUUAAGGACACGAGGUAUUACAACAUACAACAAUUAAGAAUCUUCAGCCAUUUCAAACAAAAAAGACUCAAAUGACUUUAACAGAUAAGACAAACACUGUGUCUUGAGGAGCUUUUGCACAAAUGCAAAAUAAAUUAAAUAAAAAGUUUAUUCAAAAGGAUUCGGAUAUAGAAAAUGAACGUUUCUUGUGAUUACCUCAUCAGGAGGUAAAUCCUGAAAAACUUUGUGCUUUACAGAAAAUUAAGCAGCACUCACUUCAACCUGAGGUGAAAAUCUCAAAGUCUGGAGUUCUAGUGGACAAGGCCAGUCUGAGGUCAAGCUCGAUGUCCAGUCUCUUCCUGUGUUUAGUCUCCAGCUGAACCAGAGCUGAGACGCACUCACAGAGACAGGCAGUGCUGAAGGGUAGCAGCACUUUGACUGCUCGAGUGGCGAGGGAAGGACACUCGCUGAUCACGCUGCUGCACCACAACUGGG